GAUGAACGCUGGCGGCGUGCUUAACACAUGCAAGUCGAACGGAAAGGCUCCUGCUUGCAGGGGUACUCGAGUGGCGAACGGGUGAGUAACACGUGGGUGAUCUGCCCUGCACUUCGGGAUAAGCCUGGGAAACUGGGUCUAAUACCGGAUAGGACGAUGGUUUGGAUGCCAUUGUGGAAAGUUUUUCGGUGUGGGAUGAGCUCGCGGCCUAUCAGCUUGUUGGUGGGGUAAUGGCCUACCAAGGCGUCGACGGGUAGCCGGCCUGAGAGGGUGUACGGCCACAUUGGGACUGCGAUACGGCCCAGACUCCUACGGGAGGCAGCAGUGGGGAAUAUUGCACAAUGGGAGCAAGCCUGAUGCAGCGACGCCGCGUGGGGGAUGACGGCCUUCGGGUUGUAAACUCCUUUCGCUAGGGACGAAGCGCAAGUGACGGUACCUGGAGAAGAAGCACCGGCUAACUACGUG
rnacentral:rRNA from 1 species